UACAGAGGUGGCAAGCGUUAAUCGGAAUUACUGGGCGUAAAGCGUGCGCAGGCGGUGAUGUAAGACAGAUGUGAAAUCCCCGGGCUCAACCUGGGAACUGCAUUUGUGACUGCAUCGCUGGAGUGCGGCAGAGGGGGAUGGAAUUCCGCGUGUAGCAGUGAAAUGCGUAGAUAUGCGGAGGAACACCGAUGGCGAAGGCAAUCCCCUGGGCCUGCACUGACGCUCAUGCACGAAAGCGUGGGGAGCAAACAGG
rnacentral:rRNA from 1 species